rnacentral:misc_RNA from 1 species
UACGUAGGUGGCAAGCGUUGUCCGGAAUUAUUGGGCGUAAAGCGCGCGCAGGCGGUCUACUUAAGUCUGAUGUGAAAGCCCACGGCUCAGCCGUGGAGGGUCAUUGGAAACUGGGAGACUUGAGUACAGAAGAGGAGAGUGGAAUUCCGCGUGUAGCGGUGAAAUGCGUAGAGAUUUGGAGGAACACCAGUGGCGAAGGCGACUUUCUGGUCUGUGACUGACACUGAGGCGCGAAAGCGUGGGGAGCGAACAGG